rnacentral:rRNA from 1 species
AUUGAACGCUGGCGGCAUGCCUUACACAUGCAAGUCGAACGGCAGCACGGACUUCGGUCUGGUGGCGAGUGGCGAACGGGUGAGUAAUGUAUCGGAACGUACCUUUCAGUGGGGGAUAACGUAGCGAAAGUUACGCUAAUACCGCAUAUUCUGUGAGCAGGAAAGCAGGGGAUCGCAAGACCUUGCGCUGAUUGAGCGGCCGAUAUCAGAUUAGCUAGUUGGUGAGGUAAAGGCUCACCAAGGCGACGAUCUGUAGCGGGUCUGAGAGGAUGAUCCGCCACACUGGAACUGAGACACGGUCCAGACUCCUACGGGAGGCAGCAGUGGGGAAUUUUGGACAAUGGGGGCAACCCUGAUCCAGCCAUGCCGCGUGAGUGAAGAAGGCCUUCGGUUGUAAGACUCUUCGGUCCGGGAAGGAAAUACGCAUGGGCGUAAUAACCCUCGUGCGGAGUGACGGUACCGGCGAUAAGAAGACACCGGCCGUAACUACGUGCCG